rnacentral:rRNA from 1 species
CCUACGGGAGGCUGCAGUGGGGAAUAUUGGGCAAUGGAGGCAACUCUGACCCAGCAACGCCGCGUGAAUGAUGAAGGUCUUCGGAUUGUAAAGUUCUGUGAUGGGGGAGGAACACAAUGACGGUACCCGAAUAGCAAGCCACGGCUAACUACGUGCCAGCAGCAGCGGUAAUACGUAGGUGGCAAGCGUUAGCCGGAAUGACUGGGCGUAAAGGGUGCGUAGGUGGUGUAGUAAGUUGGCGGUGUAAUUCCGGGGCGCAACCUCGGCGCUACCGCCAAAACUAUUAGACUAGAGUGCAGGAGGGGUAAGUGGAAUUCCUAGUGUAGCGGUGGCAUGCGUAGAUAUUAGGAGGAACACCAGGGGCGAAGGCGACUUACUGGACUGUAUCUGACACUGAGGCACGAAAGCGUGGGGAGCAAACAGGAUUAGAUACCCGAGUAGUC